GGGGACGAAAGUUGUUAGCGCCGUUCGUCCCUAGCCGAGCUCGCAGCACAGAAUCGUAGAAUCGACAGACUGCGUGGCCGGCAAGGCGAAGAAGCCGUGUCCGAGGUGUCCGCGCUCCUGUAAAAGAAAAACUGCAAUUCAGUGAUGACCCUCUGGAGGUGGAUCCGCACCUAUGCAAGCACAGCCGGC
rnacentral:lncRNA from 1 species